UACGGAGGGUGCAAGCGUUAUCCGGAUUUACUGGGUUUAAAGGGUGUGUAGGCGGGUCUUUAAGUCAGUGGUGAAAUCUCCGGGCUCAACCUGGAAACUGCCAUUGAUACUAUUGAUCUUGAAUUUUGUUGAGGUAGGCGGAAUAAGUCAUGUAGUGGUGAAAUGCAUAGAUAUGACUUAGAACCCCGAUUGCGAAGGCAGCUUACUAAACAAAUAUUGACGCUGAGGCACGAAAGCGUGGGGAUCAAACAGG
rnacentral:rRNA from 1 species